GAUGAGCAUGCGUCCCAUUAGCUAGUUGGUAAGGUAACGGCUUACCAAGGCUACGAUGGGUAGGGGUCCUGAGAGGGAGAUCCCCCACACUGGUACUGAGACACGGACCAGACUCCUACGGGAGGCAGCAGUGAGGAAUAUUGGACAAUGGGCGCAAGCCUGAUCCAGCCAUGCCGCGUGCAGGAUGACGGUCCUAUGGAUUGUAAACUGCUUUUAUACGAGAAGAAACACUCCUUCGUGAAGGAGCUUGACGGUAUCGUAAGAAUAAGGAUCGGCUGACUCCGUGCCAGCAGCCGCGGUAGUACGGAGGAUCCAAGCGUUAUCCGGAAUCAUUGGGUUUAAAGGGUCCGUAGGCGGUUUAAUAAGUCAGUGGUGAAAGCCCAUCGCUCAACGGUGGAACGGCCAUUGAUACUGUUAGACUUGAAUUAUUAGGAAGUAACUAGAAUAUGUAGUGUAGCGGUGAAAUGCUUAGAGAUUACAUGGAAUACCAAUUGCGAAGGCAGGUUACUACUAAUUGA
rnacentral:rRNA from 1 species